rnacentral:tRNA from 1 species
GCCUUCGGGGUGUAACGGUAGCACACUCGCCCCGCAUUCGAGGGAUCUAGGUUCGAGUCCCGGCGAGAGCA